CGAACUUUUGGGAGCUUGCUCCCAAAAGUUAGCGGCGGACGGGUGAGUAACACGUGGGCAACCUACCUGUAAGACUGGGAUAACUUCGGGAAACCGGAGCUAAUACCGGAUAAUUCUUCUUUACACAUGUAGAGAAGCUAAAAGGCGGCUUCGGCUGUCACUUACAGAUGGGCCCGCGGCGCAUUAGCUAGUUGGUGAGGUAACGGCUCGCCAAGGCAACGAUGCGUAGCCGACCUGAGAGGGUGAUCGGCCACACUGGGACUGAGACACGGCCCAGACUCCUACGGGAGGCAGCAGUGGG
rnacentral:sRNA from 1 species